rnacentral:rRNA from 1 species
UACCAGCACCCCGAGUGGUCGGGACGAUUAUUGGGCCUAAAGCAUCCGUAGCCGGCCUUACAAGUCCUCCGUUAAAUCCAGCUGCUUAACAGAUGGCUGCGGAGGAUACUAUAAGACUAGGAGGCAGGAGAGGCAAGCGGUACUCAGUGGGUAGGGGUAAAAUCCGUUGAUCCAUUGAGGACCACCAGUGGCGAAGGCGGCUUGCCAGAAUGCGCUCGACGGUGAGGGAUGAAAGCUGGGGGGAGCAAACCGG